rnacentral:rRNA from 1 species
GUGGGGAAUAUUGGGCAAUGGGCGAAAGCCUGACCCAGCAACGCCGCGUGAAGGAAGAAGGCUUUCGGGUUGUAAACUUCUUUUCUUAGGGACGAAGCAAGUGACGGUACCUAAGGAAUAAGCCACGGCUAACUACGUGCCAGCAGCCGCGGUAAUACGUAGGUGGCAAGCGUUAUCCGGAUUUACUGGGUGUAAAGGGCGUGUAGGCGGGAAAGCAAGUCAGGCGUGAAAACUAUGGGCUCAACCCAUAGCCUGCGUUUGAAACUGUUUUUCUUGAGUGUCGGAGAGGUAAUCGGAAUUCCGUGUGUAGCGGUGAAAUGCGUAGAUAUACGGAGGAACACCAGUGGCGAAGGCGGAUUACUGGACGAUAACUGACGCUGAGGCGCGAAAGCGUGGGGAGCAAACAGGAUUAGAUACCCCAGUAGUCC